CCUACGGGAGGCAGCAGUGGGGAAUAUUGGACAAUGGGCGAAAGCCUGAUCCAGCAAUGCCGCGUGAGUGAUGAAGGCCUUCGGGUCGUAAAGCUCUUUUACCAGGGAUGAUAAUGACAGUACCUGGAGAAUAAGCUCCGGCUAACUCCGUGCCAGCAGCCGCGGUAAUACGGAGGGAGCUAGCGUUGUUCGGAAUUACUGGGCGUAAAGAGUACGUAGGCGGUUAUUCAAGUCAGAGGUGAAAGCCCGGGGCUCAACCCCGGAACUGCCUUUGAAACUAGAUAACUAGAGUCUUGGAGAGGUUAGUGGAAUUCCGAGUGUAGAGGUGAAAUUCGUAGAUAUUCGGAAGAACACCAGUGGCGAAGGCGACUAACUGGACAAGUACUGACGCUGAGGUACGAAAGCGUGGGGAGCAAACAGGAUUAGAUACCCUGGUAGUCCACGCCGUAAACGAUGAUAACUAGUUGUCGGUCUACUGUGAUGAGUGACGCAGACUACGACAUUAAGUUAUUCCGUCCGUCGGGUAGGUACGGUCGUCGAGAAUAAACUAACAAUAGUAAUUAGUACGGCGUGAGACGUCGCCGACGGACGACCGACGAGGGAGGUAGG
rnacentral:rRNA from 1 species